UGUACCGGGCUAACCAUGCUAGCUAGUUGGAACCAAAACAGAUUAUGGCAUCACCUUACAGAGAACACAGGCAGAACUUUAGGGACGGCUGACAGUGGACAUAAAAAACAGAAGCUUACUAAAUUAAGAAUUUACAUUAUCGCUGGCGUGAUAAUAACUAUGUCUGUAAGAAUUGUAAAUUCAACUUCUCUAGGAAGGAAGACCAUUCUUACUAUGGACUGAAUUGUGUCCCCACAUCAAAAGUCGUAUGUUAAAGCCCUACGCCCCCAUGUGCCUGAACUGGAAGAUGGGCCCUUUAAAGAGGUGACUGAGGUUUAAGAGGUAAUAAGAGUAUAGGCUUGAUCUGAUAGAACUAGUGCCCUUACAAGAAGAGGAAGAGGAAGCGACACCAUAGCUCUCUCUCCACGUGAGGUCACAGUGAAAAGCUGGCCAUCUCCAAGCCAGGAGGACAGCACUCACCAGAACCCAAUCAUGCUGAAGACUUCCUGCUUUCAGAACUGUAAGAAAGUAAAUCUCUUAUGUCUGAACACUUGUCAUCAGGAAGUCAGUCCCUCAUCUGCACUGGAAUGAUCCCACCAGGACUUCACUCCCAUCUAAAGCUGUGCUGCCCAGCCUGGAACUAUUGGCCACAAGUGACUGUUGAUGUUCUGAAACAUGGAAAAGGACUUGGGAGCCACCUGUGCUAAACGAGAAGCUUCUCCUGCAUCAAUGACGACACCAUCAGCAGAAGAGAGGCUGUUCCAUGCCUAACUAAUGUCAGAGAAACACGGUUUUCAAAAAUUAGGCUAAUGUGUUAUCUCAUGAAAAGUAGCAUUUGCUAAAUGUGUCUCCAUCCCAGCCAUAACCAUGAAACAUUUGCACACAUUAUAACAAAGACACCAAUUUACAAGAAUUUCCUUGUUAUUUUCAACCACAUCUGUCCAUGGAAAAGCAGCCAUAUGCUGUGUUGACCUAAUCUGUUUUCCUACUGUUCCCAAGCCU